AAUGGGUCAGCGACUUAUAUUCUGUAGCAAGGUUAACCGUAUAGGGGAGCCGAAGGGAAACCGAGUCUUAACCGGGCGUUAAGUUGCAGGGUAUAGACCCGAAACCCGGUGAUCUAGCCAUGGGCAGGUUGAAGGUUGGGUAACACUAACUGGAGGACCGAACCGACUAAUGUUGAAAAAUUAGCGGAUGACCUGUGGCUGGGGGUGAAAGGCCAAUCAAACCGGGAGAUAGCUGGUUCUCCCCGAAAGCUAUUUAGGUAGCGCCUCGUGAAUUCAUCUCCGGGGGUAGAGCACUGUUUCGGCUAGGGGGCCAUCCCGGCUUACCAACCCGAUGCAAACUGCGAAUACCGGAGAAUGUUAUCACGGGAGACACACGGCGGGUGCUAACGUCCGUCGUGAAGAGGGAAACAACCCAGACCGCCAGCUAAGGUCCCAAAGUCAUGGUUAAGUGGGAAACGAUGUGGGAAGGCCCAGACAGCCAGGAUGUUGGCUUAGAAGCAGCCAUCAUUUAAAGAAAGCGUAAUAGCUCACUGGUCGAGUCGGCCUGCGCGGAAGAUGUAACGGGGCUAAACCAUGCACCGAAGCUGCGGCAGCGACGCUGAUGCGUUGUUGGGUAGGGGAGCGUUCUGUAAGCCUGCGAAGGUGGCCUGUGAGGGUUGCUGGAGGUAUCAGAAGUGCGAAUGCUGACAUAAGUAACGAUAAAGCGGGUGAAAAGCCCGCUCGCCGGAAGACCAAGGGUUCCUGUCCAACGUUAAUCGGGGCAGGGUGAGUCGACCCCUAAGGCGAGGCCGAAAGGCGUAGUCGAUGGGAAACGGGUUAAUAUUCCCGUACUUGGUGUUACUGCGAAGGGGGGACGGAGAAGGCUAUGUUGGCCGGGCGACGGUUGUCCCGGUUUAAGCGUGUAGGUGUGUGUUCCAGGUAAAUCCGGUUCACUUUAACACUGAGGCGUGACGACGAGGCACUACGGUGCUGAAGCAACAAAUGCCCUGCUUCCAGGAAAAGCCUCUAAGCAUCAGGUAACAUCAAAUCGUACCCCAAACCGACACAGGUGGUCAGGUAGAGAAUACCAAGGCGCUUGAGAGAACUCGGGUGAAGGAACUAGGCAAAAUGGUGCCGUAACUUCGGGAGAAGGCACGCUGACACGUAGGUGAAGUGAUUUACUCAUGGAGCUGAAGUCAGUCGAAGAUACCAGCUGGCUGCAACUGUUUAUUAAAAACACAGCACUGUGCAAACACGAAAGUGGACGUAUACGGUGUGACGCCUGCCCGGUGCCGGAAGGUUAAUUGAUGGGGUCAGCGCAAGCGAAGCUCCUGAUCGAAGCCCCGGUAAACGGCGGCCGUAACUAUAACGGUCCUAAGGUAGCGAAAUUCCUUGUCGGGUAAGUUCCGACCUGCACGAAUGGCGUAAUGAUGGCCAGGCUGUCUCCACCCGAGACUCAGUGAAAUUGAACUCGCUGUGAAGAUGCAGUGUACCCGCGGCAAGACGGAAAGACCCCGUGAACCUUUACUAUAGCUUGACACUGAACAUUGAGCCUUGAUGUGUAG
rnacentral:rRNA from 1 species